rnacentral:rRNA from 1 species
AGAAACCAACAGGGAUUGCCUCAGUAGCGGCGAGUGAAGCGGCAAAAGCUCAAAUUUGAAAUCUGGCGUCUUUGGCGUCCGAGUUGUAAUUUGAAGAAGGUAUCUUUGGGCCCGGCUCUUGUCUAUGUUCCUUGGAACAGGACGUCACAGAGGGUGAGAAUCCCGUGCGAUGAGAUGACCCGGGUCUGUGUAAAGUUCCUUCGACGAGUCGAGUUGUUUGGGAAUGCAGCUCUAAGUGGGUGGUAAAUUCCAUCUAAAGCUAAAUAUUGGCGAGAGACCGAUAGCGAACAAGUACAGUGAUGGAAAGAUGAAAAGAACUUUGAAAAGAGAGUGAAAAAGUACGUGAAAUUGUUGAAAGGGAAGGGCUUGAGAUCAGACUUGGUAUUUUGCAUGCUGCUCUCUCGGGGGCGGCCGCUGCGGUUUACCGGGCCAGCAUCGGUUUGGAGCGGCAGGAUAAUGGCGGAGGAAUGUGGCACGGCUUCUGCUGUGUGUUAUAGCCUCUGACGAUA